CCGGUGCGGGUAUUUGAUUCCUGAAACCAGUGCCGCAGAAGCACAGCACAGUGAGCCUGGCCUACCCAUGUUGCGCAAGACUGCUCACUGAGGAUGGCUCCUUCCUUUCACGUGUGAGGUUCUACAUGUCUGCUGAUGAGAUCAAAUGCAAUGGGAAUGGAACAGAAUCUGAAAAAACUUUGCCUAGAUUUAUUUCUAAGCUGUAAAGCAAUUUGAAGUUAGACAGUGGUCUGUUGCAUCUGCUAAGCAAAAUAAACUGGAGCAUAAGCAUGAAAUCCUAGAUAUGCACAAAAUGAUUGCUGCACAAACUCCUACUCUAUGUGUAGAUGGAAGCAGGAGUCUCAAAAGAGGAGCCAGCCCUGAGACUUCAAGAGAAUUGCAGAGAAAAUCUAAGACAAACCACAGCUAAAUCCAGAACAGCAGUAUGAUAAGAAGGAAUUAUGGUAGAAGGCAGAGAAAACUGGGUGAUUUUUUAUGGCUAUAUGAACAUGACACUUUUGGAAUUCUUCAGAAGAGAUGAAAAUAAAAGAUUUUCCUAGAUUGUUAUGUUUCCUAUGUAGAUAUAUAAAAAUAUUUUUCUAGUACUUCUUUCAUGGAUACUCUUAGUAUGAUUCCAAAACGCAUCCAUUCCCCAUACUGUAUCUUCAUGAAUUUAUUAACCUCUUAGAAAAUUAGGGAAAACAAAAAUUUUCUGGCAAGCUGUCAGAGCUCUAGUUGUUAAAAUGUCAACUUAAAACAUUCGUAAGUAGUCAUUUGCCAGCUGUGUAUCUGUGAUUUCACAGUUAUCAGGUCCAAUAAAAGUUUAGACCCUGACAAUUUAAACAUUUAAGAAUUUUUGUUGGCUUGCAGGAACAAGACCAAAUCUGUAUUAUUGUCAUGUAAUUUGAAAGAGAAUUUUUUUUGAAGUUACACUUGCAUUAAAGCAAAAUGUAGUAGUAUUGAGAUUAGGCAGACAACAAAGUAUGUAGAGGAUAUAAAACUAA